rnacentral:rRNA from 1 species
UCUGGUUGAUCCUGCCAGUAGUCAUAUGCUUGUCUCAAAGAUUAAGCCAUACAUGUCUAAGUAUAAAUAGUAUACAGUGAAACUGCGAAUGGCUCAUUAAAACAGUUAUAGUUUAUUUGAUAAUUGACAAUUACAUGGAUAACCGUGGUAAUUCUAGAGCUAAUACAUGCUUAAACGCCCGACUUUAUGGAAGGGUGUAUUUAUUAGACUGAAGCCAAUAUUCCUUGUGUCUAUUGCGGUGAUUCAUAAUAACUGAUCGAAUCUCUUUUUGAGAUAAAUCAUUCAAGUUUCUGCCCUAUCAGCUUUCGAUGGUAGUGUAUUGGACUACCAUGGCAGUAACGGGUAACGAAGAAUUAGGGUUCGAUUUCGGAGAGGGAGCAUGAGAAACGGCUACCACAUCUAAGGAAGGCAGCAGGCGCGUAAAUUACCCAAUCCUGACUCAGGGAGGUAGUGACAAGAAAUAGCAAACCGGGAACCUCAUGGUUUCACGGUAUUGCAAUGAGAACAAUUUAAAACCCUUAGCGAGAAUCAAGUGGAGGACAAGUCUGGUGCCAGCACCCGCGGUAAUUCCAGCUCCACUAGCGUAUAUUAAAGUUGUUGCAGUUAAAAAGCUCGUAGUUGAACCUCUGUCUGGGGCUAGUUUUGGCUUUGGUCAGGCUAGUUCUAGGCAUCCGCCUACAAGACUUAGAGGGCAUUCAGUUGUUCACUAGGAGGAGUAGGCAUUUUACUUUGAAAAAAUUAGAGUGUUUAAGGCAGGCAAUCGCCCGCAUAUAUUAGCAUGGAAUAAUAGAAUAGGACACUUUUCCAUUUCGUUGGUUAUUGGAAUCGUGUAAUGAUUAAUAGGGACAGUUGUGGGCAUUUGUAUUUAAUUGUCAGAGGUGAAAUUCUUGGAUUUAUUAAAGACAAACUAACGCGAAAGCAUUUGCCAAGGAUGUUUUCAUUAAUCAAGAACGAAAGUUAGGGGAUCAAAGACGAUCAGAUACCGUCCUAGUCUUAACUAUAAACUAUUCCGACUCAAUGUUUGACUGGCUUAUAUAACCAGUUGAGCGUUGUAUGAGAAAUCAAAGUCUUUAGGUUCUGGGGGGAGUAUGGUUGCAAAGCUGAAACUUAAAGGAAUUGCCGGAAGAGCACAACCAGGAGCGGAUUCUGCGGCUUAAUUUGACUCAACACGGGGAAACUUACCAGGUUAAAACAAUAGUGGGAUUGACAGUUUGAGAGCGCUUUCUUGAUUGGUUGGGUGGUGGUGCAUGGCCGUUCUUAGUUGGCGGAGUGAUUUGUCUGCUUAAUUGCGUUAACGAACGAGACCUUAACCUGCUUACUAGACUGGCGAUCAUCAAUCGUUAGCUCUUCUUAGAGGGACUUUGGUU